CCUACGGGAGGCAGCAGUAAGGAAUAUUGGUCAAUGGACGAAAGUCUGAACCAGCCAUGCCGCGUGAAGGAUUAAGGCCCUCUGGGUUGUAAACUUCUUUUAUCUGGGACGAAAAAAGGGUAUUCUUACUCACUUGACGGUACCAGAGGAAUAAGCACCGGCUAACUCCGUGCCAGCAGCCGCGGUAAUACGGAGGGUGCAAGCGUUAUCCGGAUUUACUGGGUUUAAAGGGUGCGUAGGUGGGCUUGUAAGUCAGUGGUGAAAUCUCCGGGCUUAACCCGGAAACUGCCAUUGAUACUAUAGGUCUUGAAUUAUCUGGAGGUAAGCGGAAUAUGUCAUGUAGCGGUGAAAUGCUUAGAUAUGACAUAGAACACCAAUUGCGAAGGCAGCUUACUACGGAUAUAUUGACACUGAGGCACGAAAGCGUGGGGAUCAAACAGGAUUAGAUACCCUGGUAGUCCACGCCCUAAACGAUGGAUACUCGACAUCAGCGAUACACUGUUGGUGUNUGNGNGAAGANAUAGUAUCCACCGUACGGAGUACGAGUCGCGAGAGUAGUAACGUUAAAGUAAGUAGUAGUACGUCGAGAGACGACGACGACGACGACGACGGAGGGAGGAGG
rnacentral:rRNA from 1 species